rnacentral:rRNA from 1 species
UCACAUCGAUGAAGAACACAGUGAAAUGUGAUACGUAAUGUGAAU